rnacentral:rRNA from 1 species
UACGUAGGGGGCAAGCGUUGUCCGGAUUUAUUGGGCGUAAAGAGCGUGUAGGCGGCUGGGUAGGUCCGUUGUGAAAACUCGAGGCUCAACCUCGAGACGCCGAUGGAAACCCUCCAGCUAGAGUCCGGAAGAGGAGAGUGGAAUUCCUGGUGUAGCGGUGAAAUGCGCAGAUAUCGGGAGGAACACCAAUGGCGAAGGCAGCUCGCUGGGACGUUACUGACGCUGAGACGCGAAAGCGUGGGGAGCAAACAGG